rnacentral:rRNA from 1 species
AGUUUGAUCCUGGCUCAGGAUGAACGCUAGCUACAGGCUUAACACAUGCAAGUCGAGGGGAAACGACAUCGAAAGCUUGCUUUUGAUGGGCGUCGACCGGCGCACGGGUGAGUAACGCGUAUCCAACCUGCCCACCACUUGGGGAUAACCUUGCGAAAGUAAGACUAAUACCCAAUGACGUCUCUAGAAGACAUCUGAAAGAGAUUAAAGAUUUAUCGGUGAUGGAUGGGGAUGCGUCUGAUUAGCUUGUUGGCGGGGUAACGGCCCACCAAGGCAACGAUCAGUAGGGGUUCUGAGAGGAAGGUCCCCCACAUUGGAACUGAGACACGGUCCAAACUCCUACGGGAGGCAGCAGUGAGGAAUAUUGGUCAAUGGGCGAGAGCCUGAACCAGCCAAGUAGCGUGCAGGAUGACGGCCCUAUGGGUUGUAAACUGCUUUUUAUAAGGGAAUAAAGUGAGUCUCGUGAGACUUUUUGCAUGUACCUUAUGAAUAAGGACCGGCUAAUUCCGUGCCAGCAGCCGCGGUAAUACGGAAGGUCCGGGCGUUAUCCGGAUUUAUUGGGUUUAAAGGGAGCGUAGGCCGGAGAUUAAGCGUGUUGUGAAAUGUAGACGCUCAACGUCUGCACUGCAGCGCGAACUGGUUUCCUUGAGUACGCACAAAGUGGGCGGAAUUCGUGGUGUAGCGGUGAAAUGCUUAGAUAUCACGAAGAACUCCGAUUGCGAAGGCAGCUCACUGGAGCGCAACUGACGCUGAAGCUCGAAAGUGCGGGUAUCGAACAGGAUUAGAUACCCUGGUAGUCCGCACGGUAAACGAUGGAUGCCCGCUGUUGGUCUGAAUAGGUCAGCGGCCAAGCGAAAGCAUUAAGCAUCCCACCUGGGGAGUACGCCGGCAACGGUGAAACUCAAAGGAAUUGACGG